rnacentral:rRNA from 1 species
GACGAACGCUGGCGGCGUGCUUAACACAUGCAAGUCGAACGCUGAAGCUCAGCUUUUGUUGGGUGGAUGAGUGGCGAACGGGUGAGUAACACGUGAGUAACCUGCCCCCUUCUUUGGGAUAACGCCCGGAAACGAGUGCUAAUACUGGAUAUUCACUGGUCCUCGCAUGGGGGUUGGUGGAAAGGGUUUUUCUGGUGGGGGAUGGGCUCGCGGCCUAUCAGCUUGUUGGUGGGGUGAUGGCCUACCAAGGCUUUGACGGGUAGCCGGCCUGAGAGGGUGACCGGUCACAUUGGGACUGAGAUACGGCCCAGACUCCUACGGGAGGCAGCAGUGGGGAAUAUUGCACAAUGGGCGCAAGCCUGAUGCAGCGACGCCGCGUGAGGGAUGGAGGCCUUCGGGUUGUGAACCUCUUUCGCUCAUGGUCAAGCCGCAACAAUGGUUGUGGUGAGGGUAGUGGGUAAAGAAGCGCCGGCUAACUACGUG